rnacentral:rRNA from 1 species
ACCGGAGAAUGUUAUCACGGGAGACACACGGCGGGUGCUAACGUCCGUCGUGAAGAGGGAAACAACCCAGACCGCCAGCUAAGGUCCCAAAGUCAUGGUUAAGUGGGAAACGAUGUGGGAAGGCCCAGACAGCCAGGAUGUUGGCUUAGAAGCAGCCAUCAUUUAAAGAAAGCGUAAUAGCUCACUGGUCGAGUCGGCCUGCGCGGAAGAUGUAACGGGGCUAAACCAUGCACCGAAGCUGCGGCAGCGACGCUGAUGCGUUGUUGGGUAGGGGAGCGUUCUGUAAGCCUGUGAAGGUGUGCUGUGAGGCAUGCUGGAGGUAUCAGAAGUGCGAAUGCUGACAUAAGUAACGAUAAAGCGGGUGAAAAGCCCGCUCGCCGGAAGACCAAGGGUUCCUGUCCAACGUUAAUCGGGGCAGGGUGAGUCGACCCCUAAGGCGAGGCCGAAAGGCGUAGUCGAUGGGAAACAGGUUAAUAUUCCUGUACUUGGUGUUACUGCGAAGGGGGGACGGAGAAGGCUAUGUUGGCCGGGCGACGGUUGUCCCGGUUUAAGCGUGUAGGCUGGUUUUCCAGGCAAAUCCGGAAAACUAAGGCUGAGGCGUGAUGACGAGGCACUACGGUGCUGAAGCAACAAAUGCCCUGCUUCCAGGAAAAGCCUCUAAGCAUCAGGUAACAUCAAAUCGUACCCCAAACCGACACAGGUGGUCAGGUAGAGAAUACCAAGGCGCUUGAGAGAACUCGGGUGAAGGAACUAGGCAAAAUGGUGCCGUAACUUCGGGAGAAGGCACGCUGAUAUGUAGGUGAAGUCCCUCGCGGAUGGAGCUGAAAUCAGUCGAAGAUACCAGCUGGCUGCAACUGUUUAUUAAAAACACAGCACUGUGCAAACACGAAAGUGGACGUAUACGGUGUGACGCCUGCCCGGUGCCGGAAGGUUAAUUGAUGGGGUCAGCGCAAGCGAAGCUCUUGAUCGAAGCCCCGGUAAACGGCGGCCGUAACUAUAACGGUCCUAAGGUAGCGAAAUUCCUUGUCGGGUAAGUUCCGACCUGCACGAAUGGCGUAAUGAUGGCCAGGCUGUCUCCACCCGAGACUCAGUGAAAUUGAACUCGCUGUGAAGAUGCAGUGUACCCGCGGCAAGACGGAAAGACCCCGUGAACCUUUACUAUAGCUUGACACUGAACAUUGAGCCUUGAUGUGUAGGAUAGGUGGGAGGCUUUGAAGUGUGGACGCCAGUCUGCAUGGAGCCGACCUUGAAAUACCACCCUUUAAUGUUUGAUGUUCUAACGUUGACCCGUAAUCCGGGUUGCGGACAGUGUCUGGUGGGUAGUUUGACUGGGGCGGUCUCCUCCUAAAGAGUAACGGAGGAGCACGAAGGUUGGCUAAUCCUGGUCGGACAUCAGGAGGUUAGUGCAAUGGCAUAAGCCAGCUUGACUGCGAGCGUGACGGCGCGAGCAGGUGCGAAAGCAGGUCAUAGUGAUCCGGUGGUUCUGAAUGGAAGGGCCAUCGCUCAACGGAUAAAAGGUACUCCGGGGAUAACAGGCUGAUACCGCCCAAGAGUUCAUAUCGACGGCGGUGUUUGGCACCUCGAUGUCGGCUCAUCACAUCCUGGGGCUGAAGUAGGUCCCAAGGGUAUGGCUGUUCGCCAUUUAAAGUGGUACGCGAGCUGGGUUUAGAACGUCGUGAGACAGUUCGGUCCCUAUCUGCCGUGGGCGCUGGAGAACUGAGGGGGGCUGCUCCUAGUACGAGAGGACCGGAGUGGACGCAUCACUGGUGUUCGGGUUGUCAUGCCAAUGGCACUGCCCGGUAGCUAAAUGCGGAAGAGAUAAGUGCUGAAAGCAUCUAAGCACGAAACUUGCCCCGAGAUGAGUUCUCCCUGACUCCUUGAGAGUCCUGAAGGAACGUUGAAG